GUACCUCCCACUGGCCAAGCCAACCAGAAACAGGAAUGCAGAGGAGCCCAUUGAUGCAGACCUGUGGGCCAGCCUACCGGGGUGUGGAGAAGAAUCCAGCUCAUUCUGCUGACAGUUAUGUGUAUGAGAAGCAGGGCGAUAUCUCCGGCCCACUUCUUUGACAGGUUCUCUUGUUGCUGAUGCUGAGAAACUCCAGGAGCCUGCUAUUUGUAGAGAGAAGUGUGUUCCAGCUGCUGGUGCUAACAAAGAUCUGAGACCAAGAAAGGAUGGGAAGAAGGAGAAGAAAAAUUUUGAUUUAUCUCAGAAACUAUACUCCGAAGUGAGAGUCCUGGUUGCAGGAUCAUCACAUUUUGGAGUUCUCAGUCCUGUGUACAAAGUCCAACUAUCUGAGGCCACCAUGCACUUAGGAUGUCCAGGCCACCUGGAGAGGCUACCAGAUAUGUGUAUGAAGAAGUUGUCUUGAAAGUGGAUCUUCCAGCCCAUGUUAUUCUAGCUACAGCUGUUUGAGUCUCCUUGUACAAGCCCCAGACAUCAUGGAAUGGAGAAGAGCUGAGCCACGGUGUCCUCUCCAAAUUCUCAAUCCACAAAACUCAUGAAAAUAAUAAAAUGAUUGUGUCUUUGUGCUACUAAAUUUAGGGAAAUUUGUUAUUCAGCAAAGAUGAUUAGAACAAGAGACCACAAUUUGACUAUCAUAUUUCAGAAAUGACACAGAUCCAGAGAGGUUAAAUAAAUCAUUUUAUUCAAAUGAAGA
rnacentral:lncRNA from 1 species